rnacentral:rRNA from 1 species
UGGAGGAAAAGAAACCAACAGGGAUUGCCUUAGUAGCGGCGAGUGAAGCGGCAAAAGCUCAAAUUUGAAAUCUGGCUCUUUCAGAGUCCGAGUUGUAAUUUGAAGAAGGUAUCUUUGGGUCUGGCUCUUGUCUAUGUUUCUUGGAACAGAACGUCACAGAGGGUGAGAAUCCCGUGCGAUGAGAUGAUCCAGGCCUAUGUAAAGUUCCUUCGAAGAGUCGAGUUGUUUGGGAAUGCAGCUCUAAGUGGGUGGUAAAUUCCAUCUAAAGCUAAAUAUUGGCGAGAGACCGAUAGCGAACAAGUACAGUGAUGGAAAGAUGAAAAGAACUUUGAAAAGAGAGUGAAAAAGUACGUGAAAUUGUUGAAAGGGAAGGGCUUGAGAUCAGACUUGGUAUUUUGUAUGUUACUUCUUCGGGGGUGGCCUCUACAGUUUAUCGGGCCAGCAUCAGUUUGGGCGGUAGGAGAAUUGCGUUGGAAUGUGGCACGGCUUCGGUUGUGUGUUAUAGCCUUCGUCGAUACUGCCAGCCUAGACUGAGGACUGCGGUUUAUACCUAGGAUGUUGGCAUAAUGAUCUUAAGUCGCCCGUCUU